rnacentral:lncRNA from 1 species
CAUACUUCUAAUUAGAAUGUGCUUUUUUUUUGGUCAGGUGGCCUGUGCUGUCCACCCUGCUGCUGCUUCUCUGGAGGCUCUGCCCAGGGCAGGUUCCCAGGAUGCCCCUUUCUGCAACCCCUUCUUUGCUUCGGAACCUAAUUCCCAGGGCCUGCAGCGGCUUCCUGUGUGCGUCUUACUCUCUCCUCAUGAAAUGGGCUAGGCCUCGCCGCGCUGUGACCUAAGCUCCUUACGCUAGAUUGUCUUCCAGGAAAAGACCUUUCAGAACUUGGAACGGCUUUUCAGGAAUGUGCCUGUCCUCGGAGAGACCUAAACAGAAGCCAGGCCACCCAGUCCAGGAUGUCGGGAGCUCACAGUCCUCUGCUUAGAACAUGUCUAUCCAGAAAAGCAGCAGACCUAGGUGUCCCGGGCAUCUGAACACCAGGGUCACCUUCCCUUCCUAAGAAGCCCCUGCCGUCAAUCAGGAGGAGCAGCCUGGAGCUGGGGGCCUUGGCCUCCCGUCUCCGCCCCCGAAAGCCUUUCACCCUGCAGACACCGGUGUCCUAGGUGCUGGCUUCCGUGGGCACUGGCAGUGAGCUCCUCCUCACGGGUGUCCCUCCACCCAUGCCCACGUCCUUCCCUACCAGGACUGGCUCCGUCAUAAUUUAUAGGCCCCAAUUCAAAAUGAAAACAUGGGGUCUGUGGUUCAAAAAUCAUUAAGAAUUCCAAGAAGGGGACCACAGAGCAUCCAGCCCUGCUGAGCAGGGGCCCUUCUGAGAGGGGCCCGGGGCGACCCUCAGAUCCCAGGCCAGGGAAAAAAAAGUCCGUCUUUCCCCAAGCCCUCCCC